GACGAACGCUGGCGGCCGUGGCCGUAAUACAUGCAAGUAGAACGCUGAGGACUGGUGGCUUGCACCGGUUCAAGGAGUUGCGAACGGGUGAGUAACGCGUAGGUAACCUACCUCAUAGCGGGGGAUAACUAUUGGAAACGAUAGCUAAUACCGCAUGACAAUGGAGGACCCAUGUCUUUCAUUUAAAAGGUGCAACUGCAUCACUAUGAGAUGGACCUGCGUUGUAUUAGCUAGUUGGUGAGGUAACGGCUUACCAAGGCGACGAUACAUAGCCGACCUGAGAGGGUGAUCGGCCACACUGGGACUGAGACACGGCCCAG
rnacentral:rRNA from 1 species